rnacentral:lncRNA from 1 species
UUUUCACCAACUCGCCCCACUAUUAAAAAAUUUUAAAAAAUCGCCCCAACCUGGUUAACCAACUCGCCCCACUUUUUAAAAAAAUCGCCUCACUUGUGAAAAGGGUUGAAUCCAGUUAAUUUUUCCCCUGUCAACUCACCCCACUUAUUGAAAAAAGGAAAAAUCUACUUCUAUAUAUGUAAUUUUCAGGUCUACCAACUAGCCGCAC